AGUGAACGUUGGCGGCGUGGAUUAGGCAUGCAAGUCGAGCGAGAACCGUAGCAAUACGGGGACAGCGGCGAAAGGGACAGUAAUGUGUAGGUACCUACCCCCGGGUUCGGGAUAGCUGCGGGAAACAGCAGGUAAUACCGAAUAAUGUCUCCGGACCAAAGGUGUGAUUCCACCUGGGGAGGGGCCUGCAUCCUAUUAGCUUGUUGGUGGGGUAACGGCUCACCAAGGCGACGAUGGGUAGCGGGUGUGAGAGCAUGACCCGCGUCAUUGGGACUGAGACACUGCCCAGACACCUACGGGUGGCUGCAGUCGAGAAUCUUCGGCAAUGGGCGCAAGCCUGACCGAGCGACGCCGCGUGCGGGAUGAAGGCCUUCGGGUUGUAAACCGCUGUCGUAGAGGAGGAAAUGCAGGGGGGUUCUCCCUUCUGUUUGACCUAUUCUAGGAGGAAGUACGGGCUAAGUUCGUGCCAGCAGCCGCAGUAACAC
rnacentral:rRNA from 1 species